rnacentral:rRNA from 1 species
UGGGGAAUCUUGCGCAAUGGGCGAAAGCCUGACGCAGCCAUGCCGCGUGUAUGAUGAAGGCCUUAGGGUUGUAAAAUCCUUUCGUGGGGGACGAUAAUGACGGUACCCCAAGAAGAAGCUCCGGCUAACUUCGUGCCAGCAGCCGCGGUAAUACGAAGGGGGCUAGCGUUGUUCGGAUUUACUGGGCGUAAAGCGCGUGUAGGCGGGUCGUUAAGUUGGGGGUGAAAUCCCGAGGCUCAACCUCGGAACUGCCUUCAAAACUGGCGACCUGGACUCAAGCAGAGGCAAGUGGAAUUGCGAGUGUAGAGGUGAAAUUCGUAGAUAUUCGCAGGAACACCAGUGGCGAAGGCGACUUGCUGGGCUUGUAGUGACGCUGAGACGCGAAAGCGUGGGGAGCAAACAGGAUUAGAUACCCUUGUAGUCCCUGAGCGGGCUGGCAAGGCGCAU